UGCGUAACGCGUAUGCAACCUGCCUGACACAGGGGGAUAAUCCGAAGAAAUUUGGUCUAAUACCCCAUAAUACCGAUAUAGGCAUCUAUGUUGGUUGAAAGCUUUGGUGGUGUCAGAUGGGCAUGCGUUGUAUUAGCUAGUUGGUGAGGUAACGGCUCACCAAGGCGACGAUCGGUAGCCGGACUGAGAGGUUGAACGGCCACAUUGGGACUGAGACACGGCCCAGACUCCUACGGGAGGCAGCAUG
rnacentral:rRNA from 1 species